AUGAACGCUGGCGGCGUGCCUAAUACAUGCAAGUCGCGCGAACAGACGAGGAGCUUGCUCCUCUGACGUUAGCGGCGGACGGGUGAGUAACACGUGGAUAACCUACCUAUAAGACUGGGAUAACUUCGGGAAACCGGAGCUAAUACCGGAUAAUAUAUUGAACCGCAUGGUUCAAUAGUGAAAGACGGUUUUGCUGUCACUUAUAGAUGGAUCCGCGCCGCAUUAGCUAGUUGGUAAGGUAACGGCUUACCAAGGCAACGUUGCGUAGCCGACCUGAGAGGGUGAUCGGCCACACUGGAACUGAGACACGGUCCAGACUCCUACGGGAGGCAGCAGUAGGGAAUCUUCCGCAAUGGGCGAAAGCCUGACGGAGCAACGCCGCGUGAGUGAUGAAGGUCUUCGGAUCGUAAAACUCUGUUAUUAGGGAAGAACAAAUGUGUAAGUAACUAUGCACGUCUUGACGGUACCUAAUCAGAAAGCCACGGCUAACUACGUG
rnacentral:rRNA from 1 species